UAGGGUAUCUUCCGCAAUGGACGAAAGUCUGACGGAGCAACGCCGCGUGAGUGAAGAAGGCUUUCGGUUCGUAAAACUUUGUGGGUAGGGCAGAAAAAAUGUAUAGUCACUAUAUACAAAAGAGACGGUACCUAACCAGAAAGCCACGGCUAACUACGUGCCAGCAGCAGCGGUAAUACGUAGGUGGCAAGCGUUGUCCGGCAUUAUUGGGCGUAAAGCGCGCGCAGGUGGUUUAGAAAGUCUGAUGUGAAAGCCCACGGCUCAACCGUGGAGGGUCAUUGGAAACUAAUAAACUUGAGUGCAGGAGAGAAAAGUGGAAUUCCUAGUGUAGCGGUGAAAUGCGUAGAGAUUAGGAGGAACACCGGUGGCGAAAGCGGCUUUUUGGCCUGCAACUGACACUGAGGCGCGAAAGCGUGGGGAGCAAACAGG
rnacentral:rRNA from 1 species